UACAUGUGGGGCAAGCGUUGUUCGGAAUUACUGGGCGUAAAGCGCGUGUAGGCGGCCAUCUAAGUCGGGCGUGAAAUCCCACGGCUCAACCGUGGAAGUGCACUCGAAACUGGAUGGCUAGAGUCCUGGAGAGGAAGGUGGAAUGCUUGGUGUAGAGGUGAAAUUCGUAGAUAUCAAGCGGAACACCGGUGGCGAAGGCGGCCUUCUGGACAGUGACUGACGCUGAGACGCGAAAGCGUGGGGGUCAAACAGG
rnacentral:rRNA from 1 species